GGCGCUCAGGUUUCGCCGGGUGUGGGAAGCGAGAAGCUUGCUCAUGACCUUCAACAAAAAACGCCGUUAGAGUCCUCCUUCCGGCGUUGGGUAAGACUGCAGGUCAGUGGAAGCUUUCUCACUUCUCUUCACGAUUUCUAUAUAUCGUUGCAUAAAAACAUAGCGCUUCGAUGGCGAACCCUAGGCUUCGCUCUUUGUUAUGGUGGAGAAAGUGGGCCAAGAAAGAUUGGGCGAUUGCAGCCGUCGGAUUCACCAUCUUCAUCUCCGCUCUUGCUUUUCUUUUCGAUUCACGAACCAACGAUCUCGAUAUCAGCACUGCCGAAGAUCUCGUUGACUUAACCUUACUGCAAAAUGCCAAAGAUAGAGGCGCUUUUUGCUUAGAUGGGAGUUCGCCUGGUUACCAUUUCCAGGAGG
rnacentral:misc_RNA from 1 species